AUCAAGAGUAAAACGCAAAUCGGCCUCCGUUCUCACAUCGCGCCAUUUUCUCGCCAAGCCACUGGAAUGUAAACAUCAGAGCAAAGAUCGCACAGAAUGUUUGUUCAUAUAUGAUCGAGGUAGAUGCAUUGUCCACUCGGAGAGAAUGGACGCAGGCGUACAAAAUGAAUCCACACAUUCGCGACUCGGGAAAAUAUUUAAACCAAAGAAAACUAGCAACAAAAACAGCCGUACCAUUGGUUUUGUGACGUCACGACAACUGCCCAUCAAUUGCUGUAAGCAAACGAGCGCUGUGAUUGGUG